rnacentral:rRNA from 1 species
GGGGAAUAUUGCGCAAUGGGGGGAACCCUGACGCAGCAACGCCGCGUGAGUGAAGAAGGCCUUCGGGUCGUAAAGCUCUGUCGAGAGGGAAGAAGUCUCUAGGGAGAAUAUCUUUAGAGGUGACGGUACCUUUUAAGGAAGCCCCGGCUAACUACGUGCCAGCAGCCGCGGUAAAACGUAGGGGGCGAGCGUUGUCCGGAAUUACUGGGCGUAAAGGGCGUGUAGGCGGCUAGGUAAGUCAGGUGUGAAAACUUUUGGCUCAACCAGGAGACUGCACCUGAAACUGCGUAGCUUGAGGGUAGGAGAGGAAAGUGGAAUUCCUAGUGUAGCGGUGAAAUGCGUAGAUAUUAGGAGGAACACCAGUGGCGAAGGCGACUUUCUGGCCUAACCCUGACGCUGAGGCGCGAAAGCGUGGGGAGCAAAC